rnacentral:rRNA from 1 species
UAGGGAAUCUUCGGCAAUGGACGAAAGUCUGACCGAGCAACGCCGCGUGAGUGAAGAAGGUUCUCGGAUCGUAAAACUCUGUUGUUAGAGAAGAACAAGGACGUUAGUAACUGAACGUCCCCUGACGGUAUCUAACCAGAAAGCCACGGCUAACUACGUGCCAGCAGCCGCGGUAAUACGUAGGUGGCAAGCGUUGUCCGGAUUUAUUGGGCGUAAAGCGAGCGCAGGCGGUUUCUUAAGUCUGAUGUGAAAGCCCCCGGCUCAACCGGGGAGGGUCAUUGGAAACUGGGAGACUUGAGUGCAGAAGAGGCGAGUGGAAUUCCAUGUGUAGCGGUGAAAUGCGUAGAUAUAUGGAGGAGCACCAGUGGCGAAGGCGGCUCUCUGGUCUGUAACUGACGCUGAGGCUCGAAAGCGUGGGGAGCAAACAGA